CCCCCCCUCUAGCUGAAUUAAACAUGGCUCAGCCCAACACUUCGGCGCAUUCAGAAGUUAAUUAUCAGAGUGGAGAUUAGGUCCCAGAAGUUGCCCUGUUGACAGCGCGGCCAUUAUUACACCAGGGCCGGUCCUGGCCCGGUGAACCCACUCUGUGUUCACAUCCCUCUGGGUCCGUUAUUACACCAGGGCCGGUCCUGGCCCGGUGAACCCACUCUGUGUUCACAUCCCUCUGGGUCCGUUAUUACACCAGGGCCGGUCCUGGCCCGGUGAACCCACUCUGUGUUCACAUCCCUCUGGGUCCGUUAUUACACCAGGGCCGGUCCUGGCCCGGUGAACCCACUCUGUGUUCACAUCCCUCUGGUCCAUUAUGCUAAAGCAAGCCGGCUCAUGACUCAGAGUGUCGCUAAACAAGCUCUAUCACGGUAUCUUACAAGAUGAUACCGUUUGUGGCUUGGAAGACGAUGACCAGCGAUGUUUACAGUACACGGCGUGUGGCUCAGGAGGUAGAGCGGGGCUGGUAACCGGGAGGUUGUAAAUUUAAUCCCCGGCUCCUCCUAGCCGAGUAUCGAGGUGUCCCUGAGCAAGGCGCCUCACCCUGACUGCUGCCAAAGAGCUGGCUGUUGCCUUGCAUGGUUGACUCUGCCGUCUGUGUGUGAAUGGGUGAAUGUGGCCACUCCCACCCUGCGUCCUUUACGUCUGGAGGAGCCCAGAAGAAGUCUCCUAGGAGGAGUGUGGCAGCCACCGAGUGUUACAAUGGGUGUAUUAUUAAUUAAUAUCUGGUAUUAGCCACGCCCAGUUGGCCAUUCCAUGACCAAGUGGGGGAGACAGAUUCUCUGGUGGGCAUAUUAGCAUUUUACGUAUUAAAUUAUUAGGUAAGUGCUGCAUGCAGCGCUCAACUAUUGUUUUCAUAAGUUUUAUUCUUUCUUCCUAAAUUUCCUCUUUAUUAUUCUCUGCGAACUUUGGGACCUAUCUCCUUCCUCAAUUUUUCACCUAGAGACUCCAUUCAAAAUGUUUGGAAUCGCGCGUGUCUUUUCAGAUUAUUAAAAUAUUUGAUACUUUUUAAGAUAUUCUACUUUUAAAACACAAUCUUUUUUUAAUAUAGGAGUCAAUGGGAGGACGGGUCUUGAACAGAAGAGAAACGUCCACGUUAUUUGUAACUCAACUGGUUCAAGUGACCUCUGCGAACUGUUGAGCUAUGUAUGCUGCUCUGCUGUUUCUGACUUCCCCAAAUGAAAACGACACGACAUUUCACAAAAUCAUACAUAUUUACUGGGAGAACUUGAAUAUGGAUUCAUAAUUUAUUUUCCUAUUUUUUUGUGUUGAUAAUGAUUUAAUCCUAGAAGGCGGCCAGUAUACUGCUCUUAAAACAGUUCUGUGGGUCGUCUUCAUCCUAAUGAGGUGUUGGCGCUUUAAAUACAGCUUGUCACACCGCGUUGAGGGAUGUCAUGUCUUGGGUUUUUUGUCUAGUCGAUUUCCAGUUUUAUUUUUGAAAAGUAACUUCUCUCUCGUUUCAGGUCACUUGCCCUUCCUCCUGUGUCACCGGUCUGGUGUCUCCCCUGAUCCCUGAUUGUUUCCACCUGUGUCUCCCCUCCUCAUGUGUAUAUAGUCUUUUUCUUCCCUUGUCCUUGUCGCCAGAGUAUUUCGUUCGUCACUGUCCGUGUACCUCCAGCUUUUGACUCACAGCCUUGUCUUUGCCAUGUCCUGAACUAAAGUUUGUAUUUUUGACUUUCUGUUUCCUCUUCUGAGAAAGAGGGAUCUUUUGUUCGUAAUGUUUUUGGUCAGCCUGUUUGCAGUGCUGGAGUUAUUUUCCUUAGCCCUUUUCCUCCAUUUGGAGCGCUUUUGUUUUGUUCCCUUUUUAGCCUCAGAGCAGCGUAGCCUAGUUGUAUAGCCGCUUUUGUUUUCUUCUCCUUGUUAGCGAUUUUCUGUUCUUUUCCUACCACCUUAUUUGCCAGAUCAGAGUAGAGUUUAGUUUCUCGUUUUUCCAGAUAAGUGUGAUUUUAGUUUCUUGUGUUUUGUCAAGUUUUCCUCGCCUGUCGUUUGAGGGUUUCAUAGCAAUGAUUUCAUCACUUGUUUUGACGAGAGGACAGGCAGUCCAAAAUAAAGCUUGUUUGGACCGUUCGCCUAUUUGCAUCUAGGUCCUCUUUCUAGAGCCGGCCUGACACGGCUGUGGUGAAAAGAAAGUGUCCCAAGCUGUUGCACCACUUCCACUUUUGCUGUGAACAGACUCGAGACCUCCACUGAGACCACAUUGAGGUCGAGAUGCUCAACAUGGGGGCUUUGCUGCUGUUACUAAUCGGUGUGACUGAUGGUGUGAAGACCUUCUGCGACGCCACACAGGAAGAAUACACAGCCCGGUGCUUCGGCUCCCAGGGAGGAACCUUGGAGGUCAAGCUGUCCAAGACCUCAAGGCCGUUUCAAUAUGAAGUGAAGCAAAACAAUGUUCUGAUUGAUCUUUUAGACCCUCAGAUAUUAAACCCUCGAUUUUCAAUUACUUACAGUCCUAGAAUAUUAACUGUAAAGGACCUCAACAGGUCGGACAAUGGUGAAUACUCAAUGCUUGAUUCAUUUGGCUUAAGAAGGACAACAAAUUAUUUUUAUUUAUCCAUUGAAGCCCCGGUCUCCUCUCCCCUCCUGUCCCGGGAGUGUCUGUCCCGGGGACAGCAGAGGGUGUCCUGCGCUGCAGAGGGGGACGGACCCCACUACAGCUGGAGUCUAGACGGACUCCCGCUGAAUGCCACGCGUCUCCUCUCUGGACCCAGUAACGCUAGUGACAUCACUCUGGAGCCGGGCCUGUCGGGGCUGAUCACCUGCUCGGUCCGCAACAACGUGAGCGCAGCCGCGGCUAACCUAGCCCUGUCUGUGUGUGACCGUGAGUGAAAAACACAACGACAAAAAUCAACGAGAGACCCUUGGAUCCACUCGCCGUUGAUCCGUCACAUAACCGUCACAUGAAGGUUAUAGGUCACAUAACCCCUCCCCUCCCCAACCCCAUCCCUAUCGUCGCUCGUUAUCUGACGGUGGUGGGGCUGCUGCUAGUAGCAUUGGGAGUCUACUGGGCCCUGAAGAAGAAGAAAAAGAAAACUUCAAGACCUCAAGACAUCCCGCUGUCCUCCAUGGCGACCGGGGGAGCAGGGGAGUGAGGAGGAGAACGGCUGUUCCAGGUGGCUCCAGGCCUCAGGCGGACGCUGGAAGCUAAAGGGCGUCCUAUCCUAGCUGUCUCUGUUGUAUACAGGGAAUGGGUUAACCUAGUGAUUGUAAGUGCUUGUCACUUGGUUCUCUGAACAUCCUUCUGUACUGACAGCGAUAUAUACAGUUUCUAAGUCGCUUCGGAUACAAGUGUCUGCUAAAUGCCCUAAAUGUAAAUGUUAAUGUAAUUUUUUCAAUUAAUUAAUUAAAUUGAUAGCAUAUAAUAUUGAUUGAAUUUUUUUACUUUGCCUUUGUUUUCUUAUAUUUAUCUAUUUUAUUUUAUUAUUUCAUUUUAUUGUAUGGCAAUGUGUUUAUGUGAGGUACUUUGAGUCCGCCUCGUGUAUAUAAGUGUGAUAUAAAUAAAGUUGCCUUGCCUUACUUUC